UACGUAGGGUGUGAGCGUUAAUCGGAAUUACUGGGCGUAAAGUGUGCGCAGGUGGCCGCGCAAGUCGAGCGUGAAAUCCCCGAGCUUAACUUGGGAAUUGCGCUCGAAACUACGUGGCUCGAGUGUGGCAGAGGAAGGUGGAAUUCCACGUGUAGCGGUGAAAUGCGUAGAGAUGUGGAGGAACACCGAUGGCGAAGGCAGCCUUCUGGGCCAACACUGACGCUCAUGCACGAAAGCGUGGGGAGCAAACAGG
rnacentral:rRNA from 1 species